AAAUUGAAGAGUUUGAUCAUGGCUCAGAUUGAACGCUGGCGGCAGGCCUAACACAUGCAAGUCGAGCGGAAACGAGUUAUCUGAACCUUCGGGGAACGAUAACGGCGUCGAGCGGCGGACGGGUGAGUAAUGCCUAGGAAAUUGCCCUG
rnacentral:rRNA from 2 species